ACAGCCCCGUACACAAAAAUGCACAUGCUGUGAGCUCGAUGAGUAGGGCGGGACACGUGGUAUCCUGUCUGAAUAUGGGGGGACCAUCCUCCAAGGCUAAAUACUCCUGACUGACCGAUAGUGAACCAGUACCGUGAGGGAAAGGCGAAAAGAACCCCGGCGAGGGGAGUGAAAAAGAACCUGAAACCGUGUACGUACAAGCAGUGGGAGCACGCUUAGGCGUGUGACUGCGUACCUUUUGUAUAAUGGGUCAGCGACUUAUAUUCUGUAGCAAGGUUAACCGAAUAGGGGAGCCGAAGGGAAACCGAGUCUUAACUGGGCGUUAAGUUGCAGGGUAUAGACCCGAAACCCGGUGAUCUAGCCAUGGGCAGGUUGAAGGUUGGGUAACACUAACUGGAGGACCGAACCGACUAAUGUUGAAAAAUUAGCGGAUGACUUGUGGCUGGGGGUGAAAGGCCAAUCAAACCGGGAGAUAGCUGGUUCUCCCCGAAAGCUAUUUAGGUAGCGCCUCGUGAAUUCAUCUCCGGGGGUAGAGCACUGUUUCGGCAAGGGGGUCAUCCCGACUUACCAACCCGAUGCAAACUGCGAAUACCGGAGAAUGUUAUCACGGGAGACACACGGCGGGUGCUAACGUCCGUCGUGAAGAGGGAAACAACCCAGACCGCCAGCUAAGGUCCCAAAGUCAUGGUUAAGUGGGAAACGAUGUGGGAAGGCCCAGACAGCCAGGAUGUUGGCUUAGAAGCAGCCAUCAUUUAAAGAAAGCGUAAUAGCUCACUGGUCGAGUCGGCCUGCGCGGAAGAUGUAACGGGGCUAAACCAUGCACCGAAGCUGCGGCAGCGACGCUGAUGCGUUGUUGGGUAGGGGAGCGUUCUGUAAGCCUGCGAAGGUGUGCUGUGAGGCAUGCUGGAGGUAUCAGAAGUGCGAAUGCUGACAUAAGUAACGAUAAAGCGGGUGAAAAGCCCGCUCGCCGGAAGACCAAGGGUUCCUGUCCAACGUUAAUCGGGGCAGGGUGAGUCGACCCCUAAGGCGAGGCCGAAAGGCGUAGUCGAUGGGAAACAGGUUAAUAUUCCUGUACUUGGUGUUACUGCGAAGGGGGGACGGAGAAGGCUAUGUUGGCCGGGCGACGGUUGUCCCGGUUUAAGCGUGUAGGCUGGUUUUCCAGGCAAAUCCGGAAAAUCAAGGCUGAGGCGUGAUGACGAGGCACUACGGUGCUGAAGCAACAAAUGCCCUGCUUCCAGGAAAAGCCUCUAAGCAUCAGGUAACAUCAAAUCGUACCCCAAACCGACACAGGUGGUCAGGUAGAGAAUACCAAGGCGCUUGAGAGAACUCGGGUGAAGGAACUAGGCAAAAUGGUGCCGUAACUUCGGGAGAAGGCACGCUGAUAUGUAGGUGAAGUCCCUCGCGGAUGGAGCUGAAAUCAGUCGAAGAUACCAGCUGGCUGCAACUGUUUAUUAAAAACACAGCACUGUGCAAACACGAAAGUGGACGUAUACGGUGUGACGCCUGCCCGGUGCCGGAAGGUUAAUUGAUGGGGUUAGCGCAAGCGAAGCUCUUGAUCGAAGCCCCGGUAAACGGCGGCCGUAACUAUAACGGUCCUAAGGUAGCGAAAUUCCUUGUCGGGUAAGUUCCGACCUGCACGAAUGGCGUAAUGAUGGCCAGGCUGUCUCCACCCGAGACUCAGUGAAAUUGAACUCGCUGUGAAGAUGCAGUGUACCCGCGGCAAGACGGAAAGACCCCGUGAACCUUUACUAUAGCUUGACACUGAACAUUGAGCCUUGAUGUGUAGGAUAGGUGGGAGGCUUUGAAGUGUGGACGCCAGUCUGCAUGGAGCCGACCUUGAAAUACCACCCUUUAA
rnacentral:rRNA from 1 species